rnacentral:rRNA from 1 species
UACGGGGGGGGCAAGCGUUGUUCGGAAUUACUGGGCGUAAAGCGCGUGUAGGCGGCUUUUUAAGUCAGACGUGAAAGCCCUAGGCUUAACCUAGGAACUGCGUUUGAUACUGAAAAGCUAGAGUGUGGAAGAGGCUACUGGAAUUCCGUGUGUAGCGGUGAAAUGCGUAGAUAUACGGAGGAACACCAGAGGCGAAGGCGGCCUACUGGGCUGCACCUGACGCUGAGACGCGAAAGCCAGGGGAGCGAACGGG